UCCUCUUCCUCCAAUUUUUUCUAUAUCUGUUUCUCCUUUUUCUCCUCCUCCUCUCUGUCUAUCUUCAUCCCUUCCUUCCUUAUAAUAAGUCUAAAUCUUUUGCUUGAGGUUCCUUCUAGUGUGUUUGUGGUGCCCGGCUCUGCUCACAAGUUUGUUUUGUCACUGUAUAAUUGUCAGUCCCAGCCAGGCGCCUCUUCUAUGUAAAGAUAUCGGCAGCUUCAAGCCUUGCCGAUAUCUCAGCCCGUACGUGAAUGUGAAUUAACCGAAAUUCUUGUAAAUGUCUGCAUGGUGCUCUCACUCAUAAUGCUUCUUUAAAUUUUAAGUCUCGGUCACCUUACGGGGUUAGUACUAGAUUUUGCCAUGAGUUCACAACCCCCGUGAUGGCCAGUUUCAUGCACUAUACACAAGUAAUUUGCCUUUUGCAUGGCUAUAAUUCAGCACCCGUGUCUAAAUGUUCCCUUUUCUUAUAUGCCUCUCUGUUUUUGCAGGAUGCCGCGGCCGGACCGGACGGAGGAUCAUCGCUUCGACACCGACGGUUUGGUUAAGUGGGUUCCUUAGUGUGUGUGUUUCUGUGUGUGAAUGGCAGGCCUGCCGUAUGAUUGUUUUUUUUUGUGUGUGUGUGCGGGGCGGUUUGCCCUCGCGCUAGGAUUUUGUUAGGAUGUACAUUUUUGUGUGUGAACUUUUUGCACGUAAUCUUUUUUUAUACCCAUAGCUAGCGUUGUUUGUGUGUAGCUGUGUUCCGGGAGAUGGGCGCCGGGGGACAUGGGCCGGGGGUGGCACAUGUGACCUCCUCUGUCCGUGACCUCUUCAGUCGGAGAGACCUCGUGUUGCCCCGGCUGGAGAGACACGUUGAUGGAGGCGGCCGUGUGUGUCAUCCCUUGCCUGUAUCCUCUGGCGUCCAGAGGCGCGUAAGUGGAGAGCAUCGGCGCAGCGCGGGAGCAGCACGUCAGGGUGUAGGGUGUUUUUUUAGCUGGUGUAGGGUGUUAGGGUGUUAGGUGUAACAACGGUUGGCUCUUUCACAGAACGGGUGUGAUUCCGUUCUGCGUUUGAGUCUUCCACCUUCGGGCGGUCUCCCUCUGAGAUGUCCGAAGUUUUUUUGUCGGUUUCCUCCGUAGGAGGAAGCCGGCUCUAGCUACUCUGGUCUCUCUUCCGGGGGCCAGAGCGGUCGGGCUCUGCUUGGCCAGGCGUUGUCUUUCGCAUUGUCUCCGUCGAAGUUUUGCCAGACUCUUCCGUACGGUUGAGCCUGGCUUUUUUGUUAGGUGGAUCAGGCUGCCUUCUUCCAAGGAGUCUGAUGGGAGUGGAGUCUUUUUUUUGGUGUAUG